UUAAUGUUAGAAGCAGAUGUCAUUUCAAUAGAACUGAACAGUCUGGGGUACUAUAUGCAACAUGACUGGUGAUAAAAUGGCAUGUGUUGUUUUUGCUAGAUCAACGCAAGAGGCCAGAGGCGGCGAGAUCAGAGAGAAAGCAGGAUGGUGAAUAAAAGUGGGAUACAACUGAAAAUUUGGUGUUGCCCCUGUGGGUUGAACAAUGGGCUUCAGUAAAGACUUCAUGCAAUCUUCAGUGCUGAGGAGACCACACUAAGAAGAAGAAUAGCCCUUAACUUGGCAGUGGAGUUAUCGGGUUAUCGUCAUGACGGUGUUUCCGUAGCAAGCUAUUCUUGUUUUUACGAGGCCGAGUUGCUAGCUCGACGCCCAACCCGACCUGGAUUCGAACUCGGGAACCUUCGCUCCGGAGUCCGGCGCUGAUAUUAUUGCACCACCAAGCGGGACAUUUUCUUGCAGGAUGAAAGUAACAGUAGGAGCUGGUCUCUACUAUGAGUGGACUACAUUCAGUAACGGAAGCUGAACAUUCCCUGUGCCUCUACUGAGUGGCUUUUAUUCAUGAAGGUUUGACAAAGUGGGACAUCAUGCACAAAUUACAUUUCUUCCUGAUGGCAGCAAAGAGAAGAGAGCGUGGCCUGGAUAGUGGAGUUCCCCAAUGAUGGAUGCUGCUUUCCUGUGACAGCACUCUGUGUAGAUGUGCUCAAUGGUGGGGAAGGCUUCAUCCGUAAUAGACUGGGCCGUAUACACUACUUUUUGUAGGAUUUUCCAUUCAAGAGUAAUGGUGUUUCCAUACCAGGCUGUGAUGUAGCCAUCCAAUAUAGUCUCCACCUCACAUCUAUAGUAGUUUAUCAAUGUUUUAUCUGUCAUGCUAAAUCUUCACAAACUUAUAAGAAAGUACUGUAGAGGCACUGCCACGUUUUCUUCAUAAUUGUACUUGUGUACUGCGACAGGACAAGUCCUCUGAAAUAAUAACACUGAGGACAUUAAAGUUGCAGAUCCCCCAAUGAGCACUGGCUCAUGGACCUCUGGUUUCCUCUUCCAGAAGUCCAGUUUCCUCCUCUUGCGGUCAAUAAUCAACUCCUUAGUCUUGCUGAAAUCGAGUGAGAGGUUGUUGUUGUGACACCACUCAGCCAGAUUUUCAAUCUCCCUCCUGUAUGCUGAUUCACCACCACCUUUUAUUUGGCUAACGGCAGUCAGCAGAUUUAAAUACAGCAUUGCAGCUGUACUUAGCCUCCACAGUCGUAAGUAUGAAGCGAGUAGAACAGGGGGCUAAGCACACAGCCUUGUGCUGGAGCACCUGCGCUGAUGGAGAUUGUGGAUGAGAUGGAACUCAGAAAUUCUUUUGUGUCUGACCUCCUUUGGCUCAUGGCCAUGCUUUUUAAUGGAGCUGAAACACAUCUUGUGACUAAACAAAUAUGUUGGAUUCAGGAAUUUGAAAUACAAUUUCUAACUCUGCAAACAUUACUAAACUGGAGGAUGUGGUAAAUAGUGAAUCUUAUUGUAACAAAAUAUACAAAGACAGUGCAGGCAAAGCCUGCUUUACAGUUGUUUGGAAAACAGAAAUUCUCCCUUACAGAAUUCACAAAUCAAUGUCCCAAAAUUUGAGAUAUGACACAAGACUUGCUUUUACGGAACUUAAGUGAAAAAGUACAUAAAUAGCACAAAAUCUAUUUAUUUUUCAACUCCCAGGAUAGAAAAAACUAUAAUCAACAGUUGCACAAAGUUAAGUUUCUCCUUAUAUUGUUUCAAGUUCUUUUGCUAGUAAUUUGCAAUUUGCACGGCAGAUAAUGCAACUUUGUGUUAUGGAAAAUUGCAAUACAGAUCACAGGGAAAUAAUACCCCCUAGCACAGGAAUCGGCUGUAAUAUAGUUUGAGAACAGGAGUUGCAAUAUAAGUAAGUAAAGAGACAGUAUAUUUUGAUAAGUAGAAAGUGAGCCAUAGCAUCCUUAGUAAAUAAGACUAAAUUUGGCUAAAGUCUCGAAGGUUCUAUGGGUAGAGAUGCAGAAAAGAUUAAAGGUAGUAGUAAUUAGUAAGGCCUCCACCACCAUCGCUGGCAGUGCAUUCCAUGCACCCACCACUCUCUGUGUGAGAAAUUUACUUCUGACAUCCUCCUUGUACAGUACCUGCUUCCAAGCACCUUAAAACUAUGCAAACUCACAUUAGCCAUUUCAGUCCUGAGAAAAAGCUUCUGACUAUCCACACAAUCAGUGCCUCUCACCAUCUUAUACACCUCUAUCAGGUCACCUCUCAUCCUCUGUCAGCCCAAGGAGAAAAGGCCAAGUUCACUCAACCUAUUCUCAUAACGCACUAUUAUCUCCAACAGGAAAUAAUAAGAUAAAGGAAGACCUGGUUGCAGGGUGAGUGGUGUUGAACUGGGAGAGCUCUUUAAAAUGGUGGAAGUAAACCAUAUAACCAUAUAACAAUCACAGCACGGAAACAGGCCAUCUCGGCCCUCCUAGUCCGUGCCGAACUCUUAAUCUCACCUAGUCCCACCUACCCGCACUCAGCCCAUAACCCUCCACUCCUUUCUUGUCCAUAUACCUAUCCAAUUUUACCUUAAAUGACACAACUGAACUGGCCUCUACUACUUCUACAGGAAGCUCAUUCCACACAGCUAUCACUCUCUGAGUAAAGAAAUACCCCCUCGUGUUUCCCUUAAACUUUUGCCCCCUAACUCUCAAAUCAUGUC